rnacentral:rRNA from 1 species
AUACAUGCAAGUAGAACGCUGAAGGAGGAGCUUGCUUCUCUGGAUGAGUUGCGAACGGGUGAGUAACGCGUAGGUAACCUGCCUGGUAGCGGGGGAUAACUAUUGGAAACGAUAGCUAAUACCGCAUAAGAGUAGAUGUCGCAUGACAUUUGCUUAAAAGGUGCAAUUGCAUCACUACCAGAUGGACCUGCGUUGUAUUAGCUAGUUGGUGACUGUAACGGCUCACCAAGGCAACGAUACAUAGCCGACCUGAGAGGGUGAUCGGCCACACUGGGACUGAGACACGGCCCAGACUCCUACGGGAGGCAGCAGUAGGGAAUCUUCGGCAAUGGACGGAAGUCUGACCGAGCAACGCCGCGUGAGUGAAGAAGGUUUUCGGAUCGUAAAGCUCUGUUGUAAGAGAAGAACGAG